rnacentral:rRNA from 1 species
GACGUAGGGCGCGAGCGUUGUCCGGAUUUAUUGGGCGUAAAGAGCUCGUAGGCGGCUUGUCGCGUCGACUGUGAAAUCCCGCGGCUCAACUGCGGGUCUGCAGUCGAUACGGGCAGGCUAGAGUUCGGUAGGGGAGACUGGAAUUCCUGGUGUAGCGGUGAAAUGCGCAGAUAUCAGGAGGAACACCCCGUAGCGAAAGGCGGCACUC